rnacentral:lncRNA from 1 species
UUUUCAUGAGGGAGGAAAAGAAUUCCACUGUAGAAGACUUCACAGCAUCCGGUUCUUUAAUCCAACUCCCAUCCGGAUUUUGUAUUUUAAAGAUAUGGCUUUUGAUUCGUUUCUUCUUGACCCGCAUGUGGAAAAAUUUGGUGUUACGCUCACCCUCCAUUAACCAAUUAAUACUAGAUUUUGGCUGCCAAAAUAAUUCUU